AUAGCUCUUGGAAUGGUUCUGC
rnacentral:miRNA from 1 species